AGUGAACGCUGGCGGCGUGCCUAACACAUGCAAGUCGAACGAUGAUGGAUGAGCUUGCUCAUCCUGAUUAGUGGCGCACGGGUGAGUAUACCAUAGAUAAUGUACCCCUUAGUUCGGGAUAGCCACUGGAAACGGUGAUUAAUACCGGAUACUCCUUCUUGCCAUAAGGUAAGUCGGGAAAGUUUUUUCGCUAAGGGAUCAGUCUAUGCCCUAUCAGGUAGUUGGUGAGGUAACGGCUCACCAAGCCUAUGACGGGUAUCUGGUUUGAGAGGAUGAUCAGACACACUGGAACUGAGACACGGUCCAGACUCCUACGGGAGGCAGCAGUGAGGAAUAUUGCACAAUGGAGGAAACUCUGAUGCAGCAACGCCGCGUGGAGGAUGACGCAUUUCGGUGUGUAAACUCCUUUUAAGAGGGAAGAUUAUGACGGUACCUCUUGAAUAAGCACCGGCUAACUCCGUGCCAGCAGCCGCCGUAACAC
rnacentral:rRNA from 1 species